CUUUCCCUCUUUCUUCCUGCUUUACACAUGCAAGUCGAACGGCAGCGCGGGCUUCGGCCUGGCGGCGAGUGGCGAACGGGUGAGUAAUACAACGGAACGUGCCCAGUAGUGGGGGAUAGCUCGGCGAAAGCCGGAUUAAUACCGCAUACGACCUGAGGGUGAAAGCGGGGGAUCUUCGGACCUCGCGCUAUUGGAGCGGCCGAUGGCAGAUUAGCGAGUUGGUGGGGUAAAGGCCUACCAAGGCGACGAUCUGUAGCUGGUCUGAGAGGACGACCAGCCACACUGGGACUGAGACACGGCCCAGACUCCUACGGGAGGCAGCAGUGGGGAAUUUUGGACAAUGGGCGAAAGCCUGAUCCAGCAAUGCCGCGUGUGUGAUGAAGGCCUUCGGGUUGUAAAGCACUUUUGGCGGGAACGAAAAGGACUGUGCCAAUACCACGGUUCGAUGACGGUACCCGCAGAAUAAGCACCGGCUAACUACGUG
rnacentral:rRNA from 1 species